GAGGCGGUAUCUCAGGAGAGAAUCGCACUCACCCAAGCAAGGAAAAUCGUGUCGACAAGUACAUAUUCCUUGACGAACGUGGUGUCACGUAUCUGCUCUGAGCCGAAGGGACCGAGACAGAAGG
rfam:Paenibacillus popilliae ATCC 14706 DNA, contig: contig068.